GUACACGGUGGAUGCCCUGGCAGUCAGAGGCGAUGAAGGGCGUACUAAUCUGCGAUAAGCGCCGGUAAGGUGAUAUGAACCGUUAUAACCGGCGAUACCCGAAUGGGGAAACCCAGUGUGAUUCGUCACACUAUCAUUAACUGAAUCCAUAGGUUAAUGAGGCGAACCGGGGGAACUGAAACAUCUAAGUACCCCGAGGAAAAGAAAUCAACCGAGAUUCCCCCAGUAGCGGCGAGCGAACGGGGAGGAGCCCAGAGCCUGAAUCAGCAUGUGUGUUAGUGGAAGCGUCUGGAAAGGCGCGCGAUACAGGGUGACAGCCCCGUACACAAAAGCGCAUGUGCUGUGAGCUCGAUGAGUAGGGCGGGACACGUGGUAUCCUGUCUGAAUAUGGGGGGACCAUCCUCCAAGGCUAAAUACUCCUGACUGACCGAUAGUGAACCAGUACCGUGAGGGAAAGGCGAAAAGAACCCCGGCGAGGGGAGUGAAAAAGAACCUGAAACCGU
rnacentral:rRNA from 1 species